CAGCAGCCGCGGGAAUACGGAGGGUGCAAGCGUUAAUCGGAAUUACUGGGCGUAAAGCGCACGCAGGCGGUUUGUUAAGUCAGAUGUGAAAUCCCCGAGCUUAACUUGGGAACUGCAUUAGAAACUGGCAAGCUAGAGUCUUGUAGAGGGGGGUAGAAUUCCAGGUGUAGCGGUGAAAUGCGUAGAGAUCUGGAGGAAUACCGGUGGCGAAGGCGGCCCCCUGGACAAAGACUGACGCUCAGGUGCGAAAGCGAGGGGAGCAAACAGGAUUAGAUACCCCGGUAGUCCCUGUCUCUUAUAC
rnacentral:rRNA from 1 species